AAAAAAUCUCAAAAGGAACUCAUCUAGAAACUCACUACAGACAAAAUUUUCAGCCAGCUUUCAUAUUUUUUCCUCACGCGUUUUCCUUCCUCUCCGCAAAAUCAGCCUAUCCUCUCCACUCCAUAACAGAAUUUGAUUCCCUAUCUUCACUCAAUUCUCCUUUUUACCCUCACUCUCCAUUUCCUAUAUAAGAAGGACCUCAUUCACAAGCAAAGGAGGAGAAAAAGUUAAUGUUACUCUGCCAAAAUACACAGAAAAUUCUCCUCCACAAAAUUCACCUUCAUCCUUCUGGAAAUUUUAUGAAACAGACCCAAAACCUUUACUCCAAAUAUUCACCAAACCUUCACUAAACCUCACGAACCUGCUACUUUCAACAUAUCACCUUCAAACCCUUCAUCAAUAAACAUAAACCUGCAAAUUCCACCUUCCAACUGUAACCCUGCUUCAUCCAUCCACGCAGAUCCGAAACCAUCUAUCUGCAACCUUCUACCACUCAAAACCUUCAUAUCCAUCAUCACCUGCACUUUCAAACGCGACAACAGCUGGAACGUUUCACAACAUCGCACGACCUUCAGGAUUCACACGCGAAUCAUCAUCGCUUCACACCGCAACUUCGACUUCAACUCAUUUCCCUCAACGCAUCUUGCUGAACCACAGCAACUCGACAUCUCCAACGACUCAGUAUCGGACUCGGUAGCACAUCAAUCAACAACACCGCUUUCACCGUUCCCUACGACGUCUCCGUUUCCGUAAGUAAUUCGUUUUCUCGCUUACGAUUCCGUUGAAGCUAAUAUGCUGUUGUUUGUUGCUAUUCUGAAUGCAUGAUUUUGUAUGUUGCUACUUGGCUUAAACUUUGUGUAUAUUCUGUUGAAUUUGUUUCACUGAUUUGUGAAUUGGAUUUUGUUGUUGUUGUUUAACUUGAAUCGAGUGAUUUGUGAGAGUUUUGCGAGAUAGGUCGUUUGAGAUUUGCUGAACCGAGUGAGAGUUAAAUACAGAGAUUAAUCGAUCGAUGAAUGUUUGAGAGAUGAAUAGAGUUUGUGUUUGGAUCAUAAUAACUGAAUAAGUUGAUAGAGAAAAACAGAAUUGUUGAGAUGAGAGAGUUUGACCGAGGGUGAGAGAAGAACAGAGGAUGACGAGAGACGUGAGGUUGGGAAAGAGAGGAGAUUAGGCGUGUGCGGUUUAGUUUUUAGUUUUUAGGGUUUACAGUUUAAUUCAUUUUCUUUGGGCCAAUCAGUUUGAGCCCAGCUGAAUCUAUUUGCUCACAUCACCCCCUUUUCAGCACGUUACCCCCCCGGGGUUGAUAUAUUUCGAUUGUGGGCCAAUUGCCUCAAGCCCAGCGAGACUUUCCUUUUCACACCCCAUGUUUACAUUUUAGCCCAUUUAUUAUUGUCUUUUAAUUUAGUUUUAUUUGAUAUUUGAUUUAUCUUCUUUAAUAAUGUUUAAUUUCUUAUAAUUCCAAAAAUACAAAAAAUAUGUUAAUAUAUUAGAUUAAUUAGAUUUUAUUUUCCAUAUUAAAAACACCAAAAAUAUGUUGUUUAAUUUUAAUUUCCUUUAGAUUUAAUAUGCUUAUUUCUAUAUUUUCUCUUUUGUUAUUCUCUUAAUUAAUUGUUAAUAUUUUCUUUAUCAUUUCUCAUGCAUCAUUAUAUAUAUCCGUUGCUAAUAUUUUCUUGACUUUUGUGAGGUACUACUAUCAUUGAGGCAUUGAACUUUAUUGUGGACAUUUAUAAUUCAUUUUUAUUUUUGUAUAUAUUAUCCUUUUAUUUAGUUUUAAUUUUCGAUUGGGUUGUAAUAAUUUCCGUUAAGUUUCAUCCCCAUUCGUUAAGUGUGUAAUCCCCAUCCCCGAAGCCUUGUAAUAAUUUUACCGCUUUCCUUUACCGCUUUAUUUUAUUAUUGCUUGCAUGCUUUAACCGUUUUUUUCAAAAUAAAAUUAGGACCUUAGCCGUUUUCUACCAUAAGUCGAUUGCACUUCACGCAUCGCCAUCAACCGUACUUACACAUGCACACUUGCACGUACACUCUUAUUUUACCUCUUUCAUGUUCAUUCCUUUAUGUUUGAACCCUUAUGCUUGUAUGGAUUUUACCUGUAUGAGCUUGUUUGUUUUCAUUUACUUCUUCCAUUUUUCUCUUUUAAUAAAUCUUCACCCCCGCAUUACUUGGUCCAUAUACCAAGCUCCCAACCAACUCUUUGUAAGUCGAGUGCCUCGCGCAUCGCCAUCGACCUGUUUUUCAAAACUCUUUUCUUAAUAAAACCUUGACUUUUGUCAUGUGAUCUUCUUUAAACUCUUUUGUGCACUUGCACUCUUUUUCUUUUAAAACUGUUUUCAAUAAAACCUUUUUUUCAAAACUUUUGAGCAGAACUACAAAUGCUCUGACUUCUCCAUUGCACUGAGGAGGUAUGUAGGCACAAGAUUUUACAUCUUGCCGAGCAAACUUUUGUAAAUAAUCUUUUUCUUUUGUAAAUAACCUUUUCUUUUCUCUUUUCUCUCUUUUUAGCAAACAAAACCGCUUUAACUUUCAAACACAGAUUUUCAAAAGGUUCCUGUGGAGUACCACAGAUGUGAGGGGUGCUAACACCUUCCCCUUACAUAACCAACCCCCGUAUCCAGAUUUCUUUUGUGGUUUUUUUCGAGUUUUUUCCCUUUCCUCUUUUGGAAUCAAAAAAGUUCGGUGGCGACUCUUGCUUUUUAACGAAUUAAGUUAACCAAUGACUUAAACUCAAAAUUUUUGCCGCUACAGUGUGAAAUCUGAAAGAGAGGUGUGCAGCCCAAACUGAAAUAAAAAAAAGGAUGGGCCGGACCGGGUCGGGUCAGGAUGACCUGGAUCCGCCCAACAAUCUAUUCCAAACAUGGGUUAAAGAAACCCUAGCCAAAAGAAAUGAGGCAGCGCUCAUUCUCUUCUCCCUCACGUGUUCACGUUCUCAUAAAAAACAAAAACAAUUCUCUGCUUCUCUCUCUCACGGAACAACGACAACAACAUUGAAGCUCUCUCUCAAAUUCGUUAGCCCUCUCAUUGAAGAACAACGAAAAAGACUCUCGGUUCUCCUCUUUCAAACGAUUAUCUCUCGCUCUCUCACGAUAGUGAACAGCAGGAACUCGGCGGUUCCUCUCUCUCAUUCAUUUGCUUUUGCCGAAUCAAAUAGCCUUCGAAAUUUCCGGCGGCCAUGGGAGGAAAAUCAGAAGCAAAAAUCCAGGAAAACUAAAGUUCACAGUAACUGCAAUAUUGAGACUGAGAGUGGAGAUGGCUUACCUGCGGCUAGAAGACUUUAGCCGGAUCAUUGUUGCAGGUUUGUCGGUGUUUUUGAAUUUCAUUUGUGGUAGAGAGGUUUGAAGUUGGAUGAUGAGGUG